UUUUAUAGGCACGGGUGCUCGGUGAAAUUCCGGGCUGAGAUGCAGCACAGCUGUAACCGUUGAACCUGAUCCGGAUAAUGCCGGCGCUAGGGAGGAAAAAAUGACUACCA
rnacentral:ncRNA from 2 species